GCUCCAAAGCUUCUCCAUUACUCGCAUCCCACUGCCACGGAACACUCUCAAAGAACACAACAUCACGGCUGACAUGAAGUUUUCCUCGUUGUGGAUCAAACAAGCGAUGUGCUUUACAUCCCUCCUCAACACCGAAAUAAACCAUAGCCUGGCUUCGGUCAUCAAGCUUCUUCAAGUGUGGCUUUGUCACCUUGACAUGAGCAGUACAUCCGAAAACACGAAGAUGUCCAAGAUGUGGUUUUCUACCCAUCCAAACUUCAUACGGUGUACGUGUUCCCAUUGACUUUGGCUUUGUCACCUUGAGCAGUACAUCCGAAAACACGAAGAUGUCCAUGAUGUGGUUUUCUACCCAUCCAAACUUCAUACGGUGUACGUGUUCCCAUUGACUUUGUCGGCAAUCUAUUCAGUAGAUACACUAAAUGCCUCACUGCCUCCCCCCAAAAUCUUCCCGGAACACUCAUGCUCUUCAAAAGGGAUCGUGUCAUUGACAUCACAGUCCUGUUCCUCCACUCCACCACUCCAUUUUGCUGCGGCAAAUAUGGAGAUGUCAAGUGUCGAAUAAUACCUGCUUCUUCACAAACACGGCUAAGGGCCUUGGAGAGAAACUCCCCACCACGAUCAGUUCUGAGCUUUUUGAUCCGCUCCCCACACAUGUUCUUGGCUUCCGCUUUGAACUUGACAAAAGGUUUGAUACACUUCAUCCUACAGCCACAUCCAUUAUGAAGCAUCAUCGACAAUCAACAUAAAAUACCGACUACCUGCUGGAUCCCCCCAAAAUCUUCCCGGAACACUCAUGAUCUUCAAAAGGGAUCGUGUUAUUGACAUCACAGUCCUGUUCCUCCGCUCCACCACUCCAUUUUGCUGCGGCGAAUAUGGAGCUGGCUCUGCUGCCAUAUUUCGAUCCACCAACAACUUCAUGGAAUGAAAAUUAGCAUGGCCUAACCGAGCAUGCCACAACCACGCGGGUUCUUUCAAACUUGUCAACAAGCAUAAAGGUUUCGCAACUUGUAACUCAAUGCGAUAUAAACGAUUCAAAUGACGUUUUACCUUUAUGAUCAACUGCAACGGACUCUUCAU
rnacentral:lncRNA from 1 species